rnacentral:tRNA from 1 species
GGGAUUGUGGCUUAGCAGUAGAGUACUCGCCUUGCACAUGGGAGACCCUGGGUUCGACUCUCAGCACCA